AUUCUUUGGUAGUUUAUAGCUCCACUUGGACUACAAAUUUAGCUCCACAAACUAAUGUAAAUUCAAUGAAUCAAUCUCAAGAGAAAAAAAAUAUUGAAAAUAUUAUGAAGCUAGUAAAAGAAAAUCAUACAAUGGUGGAUUAUACAUGGUAUGAACCAAAAAUACUCGGAAUACAUAAUUUUUGUUUAGGUUUCCCUAAGUUGGAGAUACUUUCUUUCAUUCUGGGUUAUCCAUGCUGAUCUCUUCCAAUUUAAGCUAUUCAAUGAACUAUAACAAUAAAUCUGGAGACAAAUCAUUUGAGGAAGUCAAUUUUUUAGAGAAAAACACACCAGUUUCUCCACCGAAAAAUGGUCGGGCAAUGCUGGAUCCUGUCAACAGCAUCGAAGUCUAGCACUCUCAGAUUGUGUGAAUUAUCCUGAUAAGCUCAUGAUGUGGUCCUUUUCUAACGUUGAUUCUCAAUUAGGAUUCCAAAGUAAUCUGCGACUCUGGGCAGGAGGGGCUAAUCCUGGAAUGUCCCGAAUGUCCUUGUUGUUCGGGUUUACAAGCUUCACAAUAAUGAUUGCUAUGACCCCAAUGACAAUAAGUACAAGCAUUGCCAUAAUGCACUUGUCAGUUGCAACCUGCCUACCGAUUUCCUUCACCAACUGAGAAGCUUUCUUAAUUGAGAAAUGGAUAGAGUCAAGCUCAUUAACAAUCCUACUCAUUUGUUCAGUCUGAGCCUUAAGAGCUGCUGCUGUUUCUGUUCCAACAUCCAUGGUCUCUUGAACAAUCUUUUUACCCCUCUCAAUUGCUUGAUCAGUCUCAUCCAUCAUCUGAUUUCCAUGAUCCAUUAACUGCUGAUUUGACAUAGCUGAAGCUAACAAUACAUUUUCUUCAUUUAAUUCUUCUCCAGGCCCAUCAAAAAGAUCGACUCUCUUGUUGUUUUCAAGAUUGGCUGCAUAUUGCUUUUUUAGAGCCACAUAUGAAUUCAACUCUUUGAUCAUUGAUUGCUUUUUCUCAUUCAACAUUCUAUUAGUGUUUGGGUCAUUUCGACUCUCCAUAUCCUUCACUUCUCUGUCAAAAUCUUUGAUAAGCCUCUUACAAUCCCUCAUCUUCCCAGUAAGCUCUUCCAACUGCCGACUCUGCCUAUUGACAUCCUUGAUCUUCUCCAAUUUCUGAAACCCAUUUGAUAAAGCUCGAAAAAUGUCGGUUAUCUGUCCGUCGAUCUGCCCAAGCUCUUCGCUAACUGCCGAUAUCGGAUCCAUCUCUGAAAUUUUCCUCUAAAAAUAUCUCAAACUUCUCAAACCCUAACCAAAAUUCGAAUGUACUUUACAAAAUUCAGGUUACAAACACGAGCUAAAACACAUAUAAACACAGAUUUCUCGAUCUGAUUCGAACAAAAAGUAAAACCAUAUGCAUUUCCCAGCUUUCAGCCUAACAAAUGCCAGAGGAUUCAAAUCCCGAAAAUUUAAUUCACACUCUCGUUUACCUCCAUUGCCAAGGGAUUGCAGGUUCCAGAAUCGGAAUUCAAAUCCAGAAAUUCCAAAGAAACAACGAAAAAAAAAGAUACAGAAUUU
rnacentral:misc_RNA from 1 species